UACGAAGGGGGCUAGCGUUGCUCGGAAUUACUGGGCGUAAAGCGCACGUAGGCGGAUUGUUAAGUCGGGGUGAAUCCUGGAGCUCAACUCCAGAACUGCCUUCGAUACUGGCGAUCUCGAGUUCGGGAGAGGUGAGUGGAACUGCGAGUGUAGAGGUGAAAUUCGUAGAUAUUCGCAAGAACACCAGUGGCGAAGGCGGCUCACUGGCCCGAUACUGACGCUGAGGUGCGAAAGCGUGGGAGCAAACAGG
rnacentral:rRNA from 1 species